rnacentral:lncRNA from 1 species
ACUCUUGACCCCGGUACCCAUAAUGUGUGGAAAUCAUGAUCAGAGAAUCCUGAUUCUCGAUCACUAAGUCUCAAACAUGUAGGAUUCUACAUCAGCCAUCAGAUUAGAUAGGAACCUCUAAUGUGUGUGACCCCGCAGGUUCGAACCUAAGCCGGUAGCACAGGAACCAAUUUCUGUACUAAUCGAAGUGACCAUCUAGCAAUGGUACCCA